rnacentral:lncRNA from 1 species
GCUGGUGCUCUGGGCCGUGGUCCUCUGCAAUCUGACUAUCUGGAACGGACGAGAUGACAGGAAGCUGCUCUGGUUGAGCAAUGGGAACCUGUAGAAACAAAGAAACAGUCAAUGUUACCAACCAAGCGAAGGGAUUUUUCAAAAGAAAGACGCAGUACCUCAAGAGAUGGAGAAUCCAGAACAACCAGCUCGGGUGUUUGAGCAGUCAGAACAGCCGGAGACGGAACCACUACUGCCAAC